rnacentral:misc_RNA from 1 species
UUUACGNUGGCUGAACCUGCGGAAGGAUACAUUACUGAUUUGCUUAAUUGCACCACAUGUGUUUUUCUUUGAAACAAACUUGCUUUUGGGCGGUGGGCCCAGCCUGCCGCCAGAGGUCUAAACUUACAACCAAUUUUUUUAUUCAACUUGUUCCAACACCCAGAAUAUAUCUACUAUAUUUUAGGU